rnacentral:tRNA from 1 species
CCUGGUGGCUCAGUGGUAAAGAAUCUGCCUGAAAUGCAGGAGAUCCUGGUUCAAUCCCUGGGUCAGGA